AGAAGUGAGGAAACUUAGAGGCUACAUGUAUGCUUUUAAGGCCAGCUAAAUUUCUGUCAACCUGCAUUUUCAUUUUUUUACUUCAUUGGGAUUGAACUCAGUUUUUCAAGCAUAGCAGGUUGGGAAAAGGAAGCUACAUGGAUCACUAAAUUUGAAAUGAGGAAUUUACAUCAUGCUUAUGCCUUUCUGUACAAAUAAAUAACCAUGAGUUUUUCUCUUAAUCUCACAUGUGAUCACAAGUGGGGUGGCUUGAAGUUUGGCAUAAUCUACUUCUACAAGUAAAAUUACUACACAAGUUUUUGCAAGUAUUUAAGUUGCUCCCAGCCGCAACU
rnacentral:misc_RNA from 1 species